CUUGACGAGAGGGUGCUGGAUACUUCGGCGAUGCGCCGAGACUCCGCCGUAUCGCCGUCGUCGCUUCCUCUGUCAACCUCCGAUGUCCGUGCAACGGCAGCGAGGAUUCUUCUUCGCCGUUGAUCCGCGAUGCGGGCUCCGAAUUGUAUCUCCUCCUCCGAUCUCAUGCCACCUGUGAUGUUCAAAAGGCAGUGAAGGAAUACGGCCAUCUCCAAUUUGGUGAAAUCUGCCCCUACACAGAGCCUCAUACCACCACCAAAUGGCAAGAAAUACUUUGACACGUUACUGGUUCCCGAUCCCUGUUACUUGGCGUGAAAGGUUUUAAGAAGAUUUUCCCACCUCCCAUCUAGAAGGGUUGAAGGCAAGCGGAUCAUCAUAUAUGUUCGGAUUCAAAUGUACGGCAGCAGGACAGACAAACAGUUUCCAGCCAGCUGGAAUGAAUUUUGUGAUCAUGCGCAUAAGCCAUCUAUCUCGCUGAUUCAUGACAUUUAUUGGAUUUCUCGAGCUACCUGAAAAGUAUAAGUCAUCGAUCUGUAUUCUUCCCAGGAGUGACAGAGCAAUGGGUUUUUCUGACCGUUAAACGUUUCAGAACUGAAGGGUGAUCUGAGAGAAAUUUGACGGCUAAAGUUAAAGCCAGUGAAGUUGUUUCGAAGCUGGCAAAAAGCAGGAGGAAUAUCAAAGCUAUUGCAAUUUCUUCUGUCAUUGCCGUCCCCUCUUUCUGUAGUUCUUCCAUGACAUAAUCGAAAAAGUCACUUGGGUUGUUCCGUGGGUUUUCCCGUCUCUCCUUAAGCAUAUUCUUCAGCAUUUUCAUUGCCAUAUCCCUGCCCUGGAAAGCAAAUUUAAGCAUCAAUACCAUAUGAGAGAAUGGAAGCAUCUUCUUGAGACCUUCAUGGCCAACGAGGGUCAGGACCAUGUUUUUGAGGUACUUGUACAUGAAGCCGUGCAAUGAAUGCAACUGCCUUCCGAAGAUCUUUGUGAAAGUAACAGGGAUGGGAUGUCUGAAGUGAUAUUUGGCUUGAGGAACUGAAGCGUCUCCCCAACAAGCGGAAAGGCCAUGGAACCAGGAGGCAGAAUUCCAUUA